rnacentral:rRNA from 1 species
GACUAACAGGGAUUGCCUUAGUAACUGCGAGUGAAGCGGCAAAAGCUCAAAUUUGAAAUCUGGCGUCCUUGGGCGUCCGAGUUGUAAUUUGAAGAAGGUAACUUUGAGAUUGGCCCUUGCAUAUGUUCCUUGGAACAGGACGUCAUAGAGGGUGAGAAUCCCGUAUAUGGUGGGGAGUCCAAUUUCUUGUAAAGUGCUUUCGAAGAGUCGAGUUGUUUGGGAAUGCAGCUCUAAGUGGGUGGUAAAUUCCAUCUAAAGCUAAAUAUUGGCGAGAGACCGAUAGCGAACAAGUACAGUGAUGGAAAGAUGAAAAGAACUUUGAAAAGAGAGUGAAAAAGUACGUGAAAUUGUUGAAAGGGAAGGGCUUGAAAUCAGACUUGGUAUUCAGUGAUCAACUGCCUUUCGGGGUUGUGCACUCGCUGUUUACUGGGCCAGCAUCGGUUUGAACGGUGAGAUAAUAGCAUUGGAAUGUGGCUCAGCUUCGGUUGAGUGUUAUAGCCUUUGUUGAUAUCACCAGUUUGGACCGAGGACCGCGCAUUUAUGCUAGGAUGCUGGCGUAAUGAUUUUAAGCCACCCGUCUUGAAACACGGACCAAGGAGUCUAACGUCUAUGCGAGUGUU